rnacentral:rRNA from 1 species
GAUGAACGCUGGCGGCGUGCCUAACACAUGCAAGUCGAGCGAACGGACGAGAAGCUUGCUUCUCUACUGUUAGCGGGGGACGGGUGAGUAACACGUGGAUCACCUACCUCUAAGACUGGGAUAACUUCGGGAGACCGUAGCUGAUACCGGAUCAUAUUUUGAACCGCAUGGUUCAAGAGUGAAAGACGGCCUUCGCGUCACUAAUAGACGAAUCCGCGCUGCAUUAGCGAGUUGGUAAGGUAACGGCCUACCAAGGCAACGAUGCAUAGCCGACCUGAGAGGGUGAUCGGCCACACUGGAACUGAGACACGGUCCAGACUCCUACGGGAGGCAGCAGUAGGGAAUCUUGCGCAAUGGGCGCAAGCCUGACGGAGCAACGCCGCGUGAGUGAUGAAGGUCUUCGGGUCGUAAAACUCUGUUAUUAGGGAAGAACAUAUGUGGAAUUAUCCGCCGAUGUCCUGACGGUACCUAAUGAGAAAGCCCCGGCUAACUACGUG